rnacentral:rRNA from 1 species
CCUACGGGUGGCUGCAGUGGGGAAUAUUGGACAAUGGGGGCAACCCUGAUCCAGCCAUGCCGCGUGUGUGAAGAAGGCCCUCGGGUUGUAAAGCACUUUCAGUGAGGAAGAACGCCUGGUGGUUAAUACCCAUCAGGAAAGACAUCACUCACAGAAGAAGCACCGGCUAACUCCGUGCCAGCAGCCGCGGUAAUACGGAGGGUGCGAGCGUUAAUCGGAAUUACUGGGUGUAAAGCGCGCGUAGGUGGCUUGAUAAGCCGGUUGUGAAAGCCCCGGGCUCAACCUGGGAACGGCAUCCGGAACUGUCAAGCUAGAGUGCAGGAGAGGAAGGUAGAAUUCCCGGUGUAGCGGUGAAAUGCGUAGAGAUCGGGAGGAAUACCAGUGGCGAAGGCGGCCUUCUGGACUGACACUGACACUGAGGUGCGAAAGCGUGGGUAGCAAACAGGAUUAGAUACCCUGGUAGUC